AAGUGGGAAAUAGGGGAAGAAGAAAUCAGCAUUGGAUAGAAAUAGACACUAUAGUUUCAGAGCUCAUUCCUCCCCUUGGUGUUAUCAGGGAGGGGAACAUGGAUCAGGACACCUUGGGGAGCCCACUGGCAAGACAGGAGUAGCAGUCAGAUGAGGUUAAGGCCUGAAUUUCACAGGUGUAGGGGACUCCAGGUGAGGAAUUUCCCUUACCAAGAGAAUCACUACCUGCUGUGACAUUUACCGCCCUAUGGAGUUAUCUGUUGAACACUGAGAGGAAAAGUGACUGGAGAUUGUGUAGAGGAUCAAGUGCUGGCCUUGCUGUUGGGAGAGCUACGCUUGAGUCCUGCCUCUGACACCAAUUGUGUGACCCUCAACAAGCCACGUGAGACUCUCUGACCCUCGGUUUCCUCAUCUGUGAGACGGGGAUAAUGAUGGUACCUACCUCACAGGGAAGUUAUGGGAGGACCAGA